GUCUGUAGCCACAUCGCCCUGAAAGUGCCUGAUCUCACCUGAUCACAGAAGCUAAGCAUGGGCAGCCUUGGCUAGUGCUCAGAUGGGAACAGUACUAGGGAACCUUGCAAAGAGGAAGAGAUC
rnacentral:rRNA from 1 species